AUCUUCUGGUCCAGCCUGAUAUCUCCCUGACUGACUCAAUGGGAGGGGUCUCCAGGGGCCAGCAUGUGUUGUCUCAGUGACUGUAGGCCCACUAGACCACCAGGAGGCAGAAGAGAGUGAACAGGGUGAGCAGCAUGGAUCUUUAUGUCAAUGUCAUGGAGAUGGUCUCUCUGAGCUCCAGAGCUGAGGCCGGGAGAGGAGAGAGCAGCCCAGGGGGACGGAGUAGGAUGAAGCUGACCCUACAUACUGAUCUCAGGUCAGUUUUGUGUUUUAAAGUAGGAG
rnacentral:lncRNA from 1 species